rnacentral:rRNA from 1 species
GACGAACGCUGGCGGUGUGCUUCACACAUGCAAGUCGAACGGGGUAGCAAUACCCAGUGGCGGACGGGUGAGUAACACGUGGGAAUCUGCCUUUAGAUGGGGGAUAGCAGGCCGAAAGGCCUAUUAAUCCCGCAUAUGCCGCAAGGUAAAAGGUUUACUGUCUGAAGAUGAGCCCGCGUCCGAUUAGCUAGUUGGUGGGGUAAUAGCCUACCAAGGCAACGAUCGGUAGCUGGUCUGAGAGGAUGAUCAGCCACAAUGGGACUGAGACACGGCCCAUACUCCUACGGGAGGCAGCAGUGGGGAAUUUUGUGCAAUGGGGGAAACCCUGACACAGCGACACCGCGUGAGCGAAGAAGCCCUUUGGGGUGUAAAGCUCUGUCGGCAGGAACGAAAAAAAUGACSGUACCUGUUGAGGAAGCAUCGGCUAAMUACGUGCCAGCAGCCGCGGUAAGACGUAGGAUGCAAGCGUUGUCCSGRWUUAUUGGGCGUAAAGAGUUCGUAGGUGGKUUGCUAAGUCUGGUGUWAAAAACUGGGGCUCAACCCUGGGAGUGCAUUGGAUACUGGCGGACUGGAGUGCAGUAGAGSMAAGCGGAAUYCCCAGUGUAGCGGUGAAAUGCGUAGAUAUKGGGAARRACACCGGUGGCGCAAGCGGCUUGCUAGGCUGUUACUGACACUGAGGAACGAAAGCUAGGGGAGCGAAUGGGAUUAGAUACCCCGGUAGUCCUAGCUGUAAACGAUGGAUACUAGGCGUAUCGGGUAUCGACCCCUGAUGUGCCGUAGCAAACGCGAUAAGUAUCCCGCCUGAGUAGUACGGSCGCAAGGKUGAAACUCAAAGGAAUUGACGGGGGCCCCGCACAAGCGGUGGAACAUGUUGGKUCAAUUCRAAGCAACGCGAAGAACCUUACCAAGGCUUGACAUGCCUGGAACCCUGCCGAAAGACAGGGGUGCCCGCAAGGGAGCCAGGACACAGGUGGUGCAUGGCUGUCGUCAGCUCGUGUCGUGAGAUGUUGGGUUAAGUCCCGCAACGAGCGCAACCCCCGUUGUUAGUUGCCAUCAGGUCAUGCUGGGCACUCUAGCGAGACUGCCGGUGACAAGCCGGAGGAAGGUGGGGACGACGUCAAGUCAUCAUGCCCCUUAUGCCUUGGGCCACACACGUGUUACAAUGGCUGGGACAGUGUGAGGCAAGCCCGCAAGGGGGAGCGAAUCGCCAAACCCAGUCUCAGUUCAGAUCGUAGGCUGUAACUCGCCUGCG